AGUGAACGCUGGCGGUAGGCCUAACACAUGCAAGUCGAACGGCAGCACAGUAAGAGCUUGCUCUUACGGGUGGCGAGUGGCGGACGGGUGAGGAAUACAUCGGAAUCUACUUUUUCGCGGGGGAUAACGUAGGGAAACUUACGCUAAUACCGCAUACGACCUACGGGUGAAAGCAGGGGAUCUUCGGACCUUGCGCGAUUGAAUGAGCCGAUGUCGGAUUAGCUAGUUGGCGGGGUAAAGGCCCACCAAGGCGACGAUCCGUAGCUGGUCUGAGAGGAUGAUCAGCCACACUGGAACUGAGACACGGUCCAGACUCCUACGGGAGGCAGCAGUGGGGAAUAUUGGACAAUGGGCGCAGGCCUGAUCCAGCCAUACCGCGUGGGUGAAGAAGGCCUUCGGGUUGUAAAGCCCUUUUGUUGGGAAAGAAAAGCAGCAGGUUAAUACCCCGCUGUUCUGACGGUACCCAAAGAAUAAGCACCGGCUAACUUCGUG
rnacentral:rRNA from 1 species